rnacentral:rRNA from 1 species
CCUACGGGCGGCAGCAGUGAGGAAUAUUGGUCAAUGGACGAGAGUCUGAACCAGCCAAGUAGCGUGAAGGAUGACUGCCCUAUGGGUUGUAAACUUCUUUUAUAUGGGAAUAAAACGUUCCACGUGUGGGAUUUUGUAUGUACCAUAUGAAUAAGGAUAGGCUAACUCCGUGCCAGCAGCCGCGGUAAUACGGAGGAUCCGAGCGUUAUCCGGAUUUAUUGGGUUUAAAGGGAGCGUAGGUGGAUUGUUAAGUCAGUUGUGAAAGUUUGCGGCUCAACCGUAAAAUUGCAGUUGAAACUGGCAGUCUUGAGUACAGUAGAGGUGUGCGGAAUUCGUGGUGUAGCGGUGAAAUGCUUAGAUAUCACGAAGAACUCCGAUUGCGAAGGCAGUUCACUGGACUGCAACUGACACUGAGGCUCGAAAGUGUGGGUAUCAAACAGGAUUAGAUACCCGAGUAGUC